GAUGAACGCUGGCGGCGUGCCUAAUACAUGCAAGUCGAGCGAACGGACGAGAAGCUUGCUUCUCUGAUGUUAGCGGCGGACGGGUGAGUAACACGUGGAUAACCUACCUAUAAGACUGGGAUAACUUCGGGAAACCGGAGCUAAUACCGGAUAAUAUUUUGAACCGCAUGGUUCAAAAGUGAAAGACGGUCUUGCUGUCACUUAUAGAUGGAUCCGCGCUUCAUUAGCUAGUUGGUAAGGUAACGGCUUACCAAGGCAACGAUGCAUAGCCGACCUGAGAGGGUGAUCGGCCCCACUGGACCUGAGCCACGGUCCAGACUCCUACGGGAGCCAGCAGUAGGGAAUCUUCCGCAAUGGGCGAAAGCCUGCCGGAGCAACGCCGCGUGAGUGAUGAAGGUCUUCGGAUCGUAAAACUCUGUUAUUAGGGAAGACCAUAUGUGUAAGUAACUGUGCACAUCUUGACGGUACCUAAUCAGAAAGCCACGGCUAACUACGUG
rnacentral:rRNA from 1 species